UUGUGUAGUUCGCGAACGAACUAGUUCAAUGAACUAGUUCAUCUUGGUGAACUAUUGAACUUAGUUCACUUACUUAGUUCAAUUUAGUUUGCGAAUAGCGAAAAAAAAUUUGUUCAACAAACAAAACAGCAACCUAGAGCAGUCGAAGUCACAUAUAUGUGCCCAUGAUUAUGAAAAAGGACUAACAGCCCUAUUCUGGGAAACCUCACUGAUGCCUCACAAGUCACAAUAACCUCAUAACUCGAGUUGAACUCGAUUUUGUGACUUUUUCGUAUUCUAACGAAAACCUCACAGUCACAAGAACCUCAUAAGGUGUGGUGAGUUUGAUUUUGUGAGGUUUUUCGAAUUCUGGCGUACCCUCACAACUUGUGAGCCUCAUAAAAAUUGUAAAAAUUGUGAUCUCCUUCAGAGCAGUUCACAACUCACAAAUUACUAGAGUUUUGAUAUUUGUCAAGUUGCAUUAAAUAUUUAGAGACAAAAAAUAAGUUUUUUGAGUUGUGAUUCAACAAAAAAUGGAAAAAGAGCUUGUUUUGAUGCAUCUUAAUGCAGAACUUUGAAAAUUGAAAAGCUAGAUUUUUACAAAACGCAGGAGAAUUUACUUGAGGCAGUGCUACAGAUAAUAUUACAUUUGAUUAACAUUUGAAAUUGUCUCAACGAAUUCGAUUAUCCGCUGCAGGUCUUCCCAAAGUUUAGUGAAAAACAUAACCCCUAAGGAAUUCUCGCAAUUUGGAGAUCCUUAAAUUUUUUUACGUGCACUCCCACCACAUCAUCCCAUAGGAUUUCAUGCGUGAGACUCAAACACCGUUGUGAGGAAGAAUUUACAAACUAGCUGCCAGUCCAGUGGACUGCUGUUGGUUACAAGAAACACAAAGCUGUGGAAGACAUCGAUUCUGAAAAUAGUCCACCAUCUGUGCUGAAGAAGCUUCCCAAUAAUCAAAGAAAUGCUUAAAAACCUCCGUCAAGCCACCGAAGUUUCUGUCAAUCGCAAACAACAUAAAAAGACUAUAUAGCAAAACGCUUAAAAGCAGCAGCGGCACCAUCAUCGACAAGUGCGCAUACAACAAUUACAACAACUUCAGUAUCAGCCCCAAACACCAAAAAUAAUAAACAGAGUUUAAUGACGUCUGCAGUUGAAGUUCCUUAGCCUAAUUGGCAAUUUUUAGUCAUCACAGGUUGACACAAUGAAUCAACAGGCCAAAAUCACCCUCCAGUUGACCACAAGAUACAAAUAAGGCCAAUUAUCAAUGAUUCAGGCCUUUAAAUAGGAAACCCCGCAGUCAUUCCACACAACAACGGCCAACUCACAAUCCUCACCCACGGCAACAGUAGCAACAUCAGCAAUAGCAACAAAUAGCCAAUGCCAAAGCAUUAGCGUAGGUAUGCACUUAUGCAGCCAAUGCAACUACCAGACAAUAAGCAAUACCCCAAGUUUCGCAAACACUGUGUGUCUCAGUUUUGUUUUUACCGAUCUCAAAUUCACCAAAAGAUCACCAAUCGCAGACUCUGUUGAAAAAUUUUAUUUGUUUUGAUUUACAAAAAUCUUUCCUAAAUUCUAGAAAUUAGAGAAUUUUAUUUUUUUUUUUUAGAAAAAUUAUUUUAUUAAAACGCAUCUUACAAUAAAAAUAACGUAUUAAUGCAACCAAAAUCAUAAAUUUAAAAUGUUUUUUCUCAGAUACGUGGGUUUGCGCCAUCUACUAAAUGGCAGGCGAAUUGGAGUUCAAGAGAAGACAAGCGUUCAAGCUCCAUUUGUCUUACAAGCAUAUUAAUAUACACGACCUGGUGCAAGUGUUGAUUCCUCCGUCACCGAUGAGAACAGAUGGAGAGUUUUUGUAUACUCUUAAAGAUGGGGACACAAAAACUUUGUCACGACAGCCAAGUAAUAUUUCUUGCUUUGUGUUCUUUCAUAAACCUCUCGGCAAUUCUUAAUGCAAAGAAAAUGGGCUCAACAUUGAGUACCUUCUCGAGUACAAAGAGAAUCAAUUGCGUAUGUGUAGUUUUGUCUUAAAAUUGAAAA